UACGUAGGGUGCGAGCGUUAAUCGGAAUUACUGGGCGUAAAGCGUGCGCAGGCGGUUUUGUAAGACAGAGGUGAAAUCCCCGGGCUCAACCUGGGAACUGCCUUUGUGACUGCAUAGCUGGAGUACGGUAGAGGGGGAUGGAAUUCCGCGUGUAGCAGUGAAAUGCGUAGAGAUGUGGAGGAAUACCGAUGGCGAAGGCAGCCUCCUGGGCCAACACUGACGCUCAUGCACGAAAGCGUGGGGAGCAAACAGG
rnacentral:rRNA from 1 species